rnacentral:lncRNA from 1 species
UGGCAAUUUCACUAGUUUCUAUUUUGCUAGCGUGAUUCACCCGGGCUGACAUUGUUCAGAACAAAGCUUUCAGGGAAGGCAAAGGCAAACAACAACAAAAAAUUACUGUCAACUAUAAUCCCAAUUCUAACAAAGAGAAAGAGAAAUGAAAGUUCUUUGGGUGGUUUUUCCCGACUUCCAAACAAACGACCCGCAAAAAUUCAUUCCAGGAAGAUCACGAAGAACAAUCAAGCAAAGAAAAGAACUAAACUAGACGCCAAUGGAUGGAGCUAGUGCUAGCGUUUUAGAGAAAGAUCGCUUACCAGGAUUGCCUUGUGUGCGCACACGUCUGGCCCAUCACACGCCUUGAGCAUCACAUCCGACACUGGCAAAUCUAGGGUGUCCUGGUCCCAGGCACGCAGGAAUUUGGCCUGGCACGCCACUGCUUGGAGGCGGCACUCCUUGUCCCGGAGGUGUCCCCACCAGCGACUCCAGCCUGUGGAUCCGGCCCCUGUGGCAUCGAUCACAAUACGCGAACUCCAUCGCAUAGGAGCGAAACUCGUACCCUGAGAGGAGCUGGAAUUUUUUUCUUUAGACGAAUGCCGC